CAGUAGCCGCGGGAAUACAGAGGGUGCGAGCGUUAAUCGGAUUUACUGGGCAUAAAGCGUGCGUAGGCGGCUUUUUAAGUCGGAUGUGAAAUCCCUGAGCUUAACUUAGGAAUUGCAUUCGAUACUGGGAAGCUAGAGUAUGGGAGAGGAUGGUAGAAUUCCAGGUGUAGCGGUGAAAUGCGUAGAGAUCUGGAGGAAUACCGAUGGCGAAGGCAGCCAUCUGGCCUAAUACUGACGCUGAGGUACGAAAGCAUGGAGAGCAAACAGGAUUAGAUACCCCCGUAGUCCCUGUCUCUUAUAC
rnacentral:rRNA from 1 species